rnacentral:rRNA from 1 species
AUGAACGCUGGCGGCGUGCCUAAUACAUGCAAGUCGAGCGAACAGACGAGGAGCUUGCUCCUCUGACGUUAGCGGCGGACGGGUGAGUAACACGUGGAUAACCUACCUAUAAGACUGGGAUAACUUCGGGAAACCGGAGCUAAUACCGGAUUAUAUAUUGAACCGCAUGGUUCAAUAGUGAAAGACGGUUUUGCUGUCACUUAUAGAUGGAUCCGCGCCGCAUUAGCUAGUUGGUAAGGUAACGGCUUACCAAGGCAACGAUGCGUAGCCGACCUGAGAGGGUGAUCGGCCACACUGGGACUGAGACACGGUCCAGACUCCUACGGGAGGCAGCAGUAGGGAAUCUUCCGCAAUGGGCGAAAGCCUGACGGAGCAACGCCGCGUGAGUGAUGAAGGUCUUCGGAUCGUAAAACUCUGUUAUUAGGGAAGAACAAAUGUGUAAGUAACUAUGCACGUCUUGACGGUACCUAAUCAGAAAGCCACGGCUAACUACGUG